UAGCUGGUCUGAGAGGAUGAUCAGCCACACUGGGACUGAGACACGGCCCAGACUCCUACGGGAGGCAGCAGUGGGGAAUAUUGGACAAUGGGGGCAACCCUGAUCCAGCAAUACCGCGUGUGUGAAGAAGGCCUGAGGGUUGUAAAGCACUUUCAGUGGGGAGGAGGGUAUUUUGGUUAAGAGCUGAGAUAUUGGACGUUACCCACAGAAGAAGCACCGGCUAACUCCGUGCCAGCAGCCGCGGUAAUACGGAGGGUGCGAGCGUUAAUCGGAAUUACUGGGCGUAAAGGGYGCGUAGGUGGUYGGAUAAGUUAGCUGUGAAAUUCCUGGGCU
rnacentral:rRNA from 1 species